rnacentral:rRNA from 1 species
GUGGGCUGCAAAAGAAGUAGGUAGUUUAACCUUCGGGGGGACGCUUACCACUUUGUGGUUCAUGACUGGGGUGAAGUCGUAACAAGGUAGCGCUAGGGGAACCUGGCGCUGGAUCACCUCCUUAWACGAUGAU